rnacentral:rRNA from 1 species
UACGUAGGGUGCAAGCGUUGUCCGGAAUUAUUGGGCGUAAAGAGCUCGUAGGCGGUCUGUCGCGUCGAAAUGUGAAAACCCGGGGGCUCAACCCCGGGCCUGCAUUCGAUACGGGCAGACUAGAGUUCGGUAGGGGAGUCUGGAAUUCCUGGUGUAGCGGUGAAAUGCGCAGAUAUCAGGAGGAACACCGGUGGCGAAGGCGGGACUCUGGGCCGAUACUGACGCUGAGGAGCGAAAGCGUGGGGAGCGAACAGG